CCUUAAUAGAUUACCUGCUUGCGUUUUUGUUGCCGCAGCUACUAUGUGUGCGUGACCGUACUGAUCUACUUCCUGCCCCUUUGCAUCAUGGGAUGGGCGUACAUGACGGUGGCCGUCACCCUGUGGGCGAGCGAGAUUCCAGGAGACUCAUCUGAACACUACGCAGAGCAACUCAUCGCCAAACGCAAGGUGGUGAAGAUGAUGAUCGUGGUGGUGUGCACCUUCGCCGUGUGCUGGCUGCCGUACCACGUCUACUUCCUGCUGCACCAGUUCUUCCCCGAACUGUUUGAGGAGCGCUACAUCCAGCAGGUCUACCUGGCCGUCAUGUGGCUGGCCAUGAGCUCCACCAUGUACAACCCAGUCAUCUACUACUGCUUGAACAGCAGGUUCAGAGCAGGCUUCCAGCAGGUGUUUUGCUGCUGUGCUCCCACCGUCACCAAAGAGGAGCUGCUGGAACUCAAAUCUCCUCGAUACCUGCAAACCCAGUAAAAAUCUAAAAGUAAUGCAGCCUGGUGGAUCCCAUCUUCUCGAUGUCCGUCAAUGGAUUCUGGAGUUACUGCAGUCAGCCCGAACCAGCCAAUCGGGGCUCGGUGUUCCCAGCAUCCCUUAGAACACUUCAAGACACAAAUACAUUUCUUCUCAGCUGAUGCCAUCCAACUCACCCUCAUCCGAAGCACUUUGGACUGCCAGAAACGGGUGACGAUCCGCUGACCGCUUUUAAUCUCGUCUCUCCCUGAAGAGAUUGACAAGAAGAUUAAAACAAGAGUUUACUUGUGAAAACAGUAACUGCAUAAAGACUUCUGCAGAAGUUGUAACUUAAUGACAAAGGUGUUUGUACUCGCAUCCAUAAGAGAGGAGAAGUUUGGAUUAAAACGGCAUGAACAUUUAAUAUAUAGUGAAAGUUAAAAAAAAAAUAAAACUAUUAUAACCUGAAGUAUUUGGUUUCUAAUUUUGGUUUCACAGAAAAAAAUGUACAUCUUUGCCAUCUCUGAGGCUAUUUUGGACCAAAUGUCAUCUUUGUACUGUGAGAUCAAAUUGCAAAUGUUUUUUUGUGUUCAGUGAACUAUGUGAUUGUACUAACUUUGUAAAAAUCUGUACAGUGGCAAUUAUGUAUGCAGUACUAUAUCGUUUUGUUUUUGUCAGACUUAAAUGUUUUAAAUGUUCAAACUGAUUUUAACAUCAAAAAUAACCUGAAUUUUCAAUUAAGUUCAGUUUAUUUGUAUGGCGCCAAUUAACGACAAAUUUUUUCAAAGAACUUUAGGAGAAAAAAGUCAUUUUAACCCAAUCAUACAAACGGGUUCCCAGUCAAACUGUGUAAGGUAGAGCUGUCCAAUGUGCGGCCCGGGGAACAUUUGUGACCUCUGGAGUGAUUGUGUGCGGCCAUGACUCCAGAUCAAAUACAGAUUACCUCAACUCAGUGCAGGUGGUUGAUGCAGAUGGAGACUUUGCCAUUUUUAAUUUUUAAUCGGCGCAAAAUUGUUGCAGGCAAACUUGAGCUUUAGUUUUCCUUUGAUGGAAAGACAAAUUUUCUCCAAACAGCUGACAUGCCGAUCCAUUCAUGUUGGUUGAGGUCAAAUUUUCUAGAAUAAAAGUUUUAAGAAA